AGUGAACGCUGGCGGUAGGCCUAACACAUGCAAGUCGAACGGCAGCACAGAGGAGCUUGCUCCUUGGGUGGCGAGUGGCGGACGGGUGAGGAAUACAUCGGAAUCUACUCUGUCGUGGGGGAUAACGUAGGGAAACUUACGCUAAUACCGCAUACGACCUACGGGUGAAAGCAGGGGACCUUCGGACCUUGCGCGAUUGAAUGAGCCGAUGUCGGAUUAGCUAGUUGGCGGGGUAAAGGCCCACCAAGGCGACGAUCCGUAGCUGGUCUGAGAGGAUGAUCAGCCACACUGGAACUGAGACACGGUCCAGACUCCUACGGGAGGCAGCAGUGGGGAAUAUUGGACAAUGGGCGCAAGCCUGAUCCAGCCAUACCGCGUGGGUGAAGAAGGCCUUCGGGUUGUAAAGCCCUUUUGUUGGGAAAGAAAUCCAGCUGGCUAAUACCCGGUUGGGAUGACGGUACCCAAAGAAUAAGCACCGGCUAACUUCGUGCCAGCAGCCGCCGUAA
rnacentral:rRNA from 1 species